GUCAUAUGCUUGUCUCAAAGAUUAAGCCAUGCAUGUCUCAGUACAAGCCAAAUUAAGGUGAAACCGCGAAAGGCUCAUUAAAUCAGUUAUUGUUCCUUAGAUCGUACCCACAAUUACUUGGAUAACUGUGGUAAUUCUAGAGCUAAUACAUGCAAACAGAGCUCCGACCGGAGACGGGAAGGAGUGCUUUUAUUAGAUCUAAACCAAUCGGUGGCGGGUUCGCUCGUCAUCGUACAACUUGGUGACUCUGAAUAACUUUACGCUGAUCGCACGGUCAUCGCACCGGCGACGCAUCUUUCAAAUGUCUGCCUUAUCAACUGUCGAUGGUAGGUUCUGCGCUUACCAUGGUUGUAACGGGUAACGGGGAAUCAGGGUUCGAUUCCGGAGAGGGAGCCUGAGAAACGGCUACCACAUCCAAGGAAGGCAGCAGGCGCGCAAAUUACCCACUCCCGGCACGGGGAGGUAGUGACGAAAAAUAACGAUACGGGACUCAUCCGAGGCCCCGUAAUCGGAAUGAGUACACUCUAAACCCUUUAACGAGGAUCAAUUGGAGGGCAAGUCUGGUGCCAGCAGCCGCGGUAAUUCCAGCUCCAAUAGCGUAUAUUAAAGUUGUUGCGGUUAAAAAGCUCGUAGUCGAAUUUGUGUCUCGCGCCGCCGGUUCAUCGUCCGCGGUGUUAACUGGCGAGUCGCGAGAUGUCCUGCCGGUGGGCUUAGCUCGCGAGGGCGGCCCAACUAAAUCCUGCCGCGGUGCUCUUCAUUGAGUGUCGAGGUGGGCCGGCACGUUUACUUUGAACAAAUUAGAGUGCUUAAAGCAGGCUAAAACUUCGCCUGAAUACUGUGUGCAUGGAAUAAUGGAAUAGGACCUCGGUUCUACUUUGUUGGUUUUCGGAAUCCCGAGGUAAUGAUUAAUAGGAACGGAUGGGGGCAUUCGUAUUGUGACGUUAGAGGUGAAAUUCUUGGAUCGUCGC
rnacentral:rRNA from 1 species